GUAAACGGCGGCCGUAACUAUAACGGUCCUAAGGUAGCGAAAUUCCUUGUCGGGUAAGUUCCGACCUGCACGAAUGGCGUAAUGAUGGCCAGGCUGUCUCCACCCGAGACUCAGUGAAAUUGAACUCGCUGUGAAGAUGCAGUGUACCCGCGGCAAGACGGAAAGACCCCGUGAACCUUUACUAUAGCUUGACACUGAACAUUGAGCCUUGAUGUGUAGGAUAGGUGGGAGGCUUUGAAGUGUGGACGCCAGUCUGCAUGGAGCCGACCUUGAAAUACCACCCUUUAAUGUUUGAUGUUCUAACGUUGGCCCCUAAUCGGGGUUGCGGACAGUGUCUGGUGGGUAGUUUGACUGGGGCGGUCUCCUCCUAAAGAGUAACGGAGGAGCACGAAGGGUGGCUAAUCCUGGUCGGACAUCAGGAGGUUAGUGCAAUGGCAUAAGCCAGCUUGACUGCGAGCGUGACGGCGCGAGCAGGUGCGAAAGCAGGUCAUAGUGAUCCGGUGGUUCUGAAUGGAAGGGCCAUCGCUCAACGGAUAAAAGGUACUCCGGGGAUAACAGGCUGAUACCGCCCAAGAGUUCAUAUCGACGGCGGUGUUUGGCACCUCGAUGUCGGCUCAUCACAUCCUGGGGCUGAAGUAGGUCCCAAGGGUAUGGCUGUUCGCCAUUUAAAGUGGUACGCGAGCUGGGUUUAGAACGUCGUGAGACAGUUCGGUCCCUAUCUGCCGUGGGCGCUGGAGAACUGAGGGGGGCUGCUCCUAGUACGAGAGGACCGGAGUGGACGCAUCACUGGUGUUCGGGUUGUCAUGCCAAUGGCACUGCCCGGUAGCUAAAUGCGGAAGAGAUAAGUGCUGAAAGCAUCUAAGCACGAAACUUGCCCCGAGAUGAGUUCUCCCUGACUCCCUGAGAGUCCUGAAGGAACGUUGAAGACGACGACGUUGAUAGGCCGGGUGUGUAAGCGCAGCGAUGCGUUGAGCUAACCGGUACUAAUGAACCGUGAGGCUUAACCUU
rnacentral:rRNA from 1 species